ACAAUCUAAAUCUUAAAUUUUAACUUCAAAUCUUAAUUCUACAUCUUAAAUCUUUUUUUUUGUAACACUUUAAACUUCAAAUCCUAUAUUAUACUCAAACUCUAAACUACAAACCCUAUAUUAUAAACCAAUAAACUUAAAUCAUAAAUCUUAAGUACUAUAUCUCAAGCUUAGUACUUAUGAUUAAUAUUUUUAAAUUUAAAUACCAAAUCUUAACACAUAAACUACAAAUCUAGUAUUUUCAAAUUUUAUUUCAAUUAUCAAAUUUCACCCUAAAUCUCAAACCGCAUACUCCAAACCUUAUAUCAUAACACUAAAAUGUAAUUAAUUAUAAACACAAUAACAUAAAUUUUAUAUUCAAACACUAACCCCUAACACUAUAUUUCAAUCCCUAAACUCUGAACUUAAACUCUAUAUCCAAAGCAUAAUCUUAAUAUUAAUCUGAUGUUUUCAAACUUAAACACCAAAAAUCUAUUUCACAAGCCCU
rnacentral:lncRNA from 1 species